GGUGGUAUUCAGUGCCACGCAGCUGUCUUGGCUGAGCUCUGAACAAGCGUGUGCCGUGACAGGAGAGCAGUGGGCAGAAUUAGACAAUGAACAAAGACAAGCACUUGGCAUGGCCCAGUAUGAAGGCGAAUUAAUCCUUGAGCACAGAGGCAGAAACCAGGCUCCAUCGUUAUGGUUUGCCGGCAGCUCCAGAAAAUGUUUAUUAGUUUUUGUCUGUGCAUUGUGGAUACUGUUAUAAAGAUUAUAACCUGA